rnacentral:rRNA from 1 species
UACGUAGGGACCAAGCGUUGUUCGGAUUUACUGGGCGUAAAGGGCGCGUAGGCGGCAAUUCAAGUCAUCUGUGAAAUCUCUGGGCUUAACUCGGAACGGUCAGAUGAUACUGCUUUGCUAGAGUGCGGAAGGGGCAAUCGGAAUUCUUGGUGUAGCGGUGAAAUGCGUAGAUAUCAAGAGGAACACCUGAGGUGAAGACGGGUUGCUGGGCCGACACUGACGCUGAUAGCGCGAAAGCCAGGGGAGCAAACGGG